AAAAAGUUAGUUAAAUCAUAAUGUAAGAUUGUCAGUUUUAUGUUACUAACCAAAUUAGUACUUUUUA
rnacentral:tRNA from 1 species